GUAGGGAAUCUUCGGCAAUGGACGAAAGUCUGACCGAGCAACGCCGCGUGAGUGAAGAAGGUUUUCGGAUCGUAAAACUCUGUUGUUAGAGAAGAACGUUGUGUAGAGUGGAAAAUUACACAAGUGACGGUAUCUAACCAGAAAGGGACGGCUAACUACGUGCCAGCAGCCGCGGUAAUACGUAGGUCCCGAGCGUUGUCCGGAUUUAUUGGGCGUAAAGCGAGCGCAGGUGGUUUAAUAAGUCUGAUGUAAAAGGCAGUGGCUCAACCAUUGUGUGCAUUGGAAACUGUUAGACUUGAGUGCAGUAGAGGAGAGUGGAAUUCCAUGUGUAGCGGUGAAAUGCGUAGAUAUAUGGAGGAACACCGGUGGCGAAAGCGGCUCUCUGGACUGUAACUGACACUGAGGCUCGAAAGUGUGGGUAGCAAACAGGAUUAGAUACCCCUGUAGUCC
rnacentral:rRNA from 1 species